rnacentral:rRNA from 1 species
UACGAAGGGGGCUAGCGUUGUUCGGAAUCACUGGGCGUAAAGGGCGCGUAGGCGGCGCGACAAGUCAGGCGUGAAAGCCCCGGGCUCAACCCGGGAAUUGCGCUUGAUACUGUCGUGCUUGAGGCCGGGAGAGGAUGGCGGAAUUCCCAGUGUAGAGGUGAAAUUCGUAGAUAUUGGGAAGAACACCGGUGGCGAAGGCGGGUCUCUGGGCCGAUACUGACGCUGAGGAGCGAAAGCGUGGGAGCGAACAGG